rnacentral:rRNA from 1 species
UAGUCCACGCCCUAAACGAUGAGGACUGGCUGUUGGCGCUAUAGACGCGUCGGUAGCGAAGCUAACGCGUUAAGUUCUCCGCCUGGGGAGUACGACCGCAAGGUUGAAACUCAAAGGAAUUGACGGGGGCCCGCACAAGCGGUGGAGCAUGUGGUUUAAUUCGAUGCAACGCGAAGAACCUUACCAUCCCUUGACAUCCUCAGAAUGAUCUGUAAUCGAUCAGUGCCUUCGGGAACUGAGUGACAGGUGCUGCACGGCUGUCGUCAGCUCGUGUCGUGAGAUGUUGGGUUAAGUCCCGCAACGAGCGCAACCCUUAUCAUUAGUUACCAGCGAGUAAUGUCGGGGACUCUAAUGAGACUGCCUACGCAAGUAGUGAGGAAGGUGGGGGAUGACGUCAAAUCAUCACGGCCCUUACGUCCAGGGGCUACACACGUGCUACAAUGGACGGUACAGUAGGUCGCUACAUGGGCAACAUGAUGCUAAUCCGAAAAGCCGUU